rnacentral:rRNA from 1 species
ACGGGAGGCAGCAGUGGGGAAUCUUGCGCAAUGCGCGAAAGCGUGACGCAGCAACGCCGCGUGGGGGAAGAAGGCCUUCGGGUUGUAAACCCCUUUCAGUUGGGACGAAGCUUCCGCGGUUAACAGCCGCGUGGAGUGACGGUACCUUCACAAGAAGCCCCGGCUAACUACGUGCCAGCAGCCGCGGUAAUACGUAGGGGGCUAGCGUUGUCCGGAAUCAUUGGGCGUAAAGCGCGUGUAGGCGGCCCGGUAAGUCCGCUGUGAAAGUCGGGGGCUCAACCCUCGAAAGCCGGUGGAUACUGUCGGGCUAGAGUACGGAAGAGGCGAGUGGAAUUCCUGGUGUAGCGGUGAAAUGCGCAGAUAUCAGGAGGAACACCAAUUGCGAAGGCAGCUCGCUGGGACGUCACUGACGCUGAGACGCGAAAGCGUGGGGAGCAAACAGGAUUAGAUACCCUGGUA